UACAGAGGGUGCGAGCGUUAAUCGGAAUUACUGGGCGUAAAGCGCGCGUAGGCGGCAUUGCAAGUCGGGUGUGAAAUCCCCAGGCUUAACCUGGGAACUGCAUUCGAGACUGCAUUGCUAGAGUAUGGGAGAGGGAAGUGGAAUUUCCGGUGUAGCGGUGAAAUGCGUAGAUAUCGGAAGGAACAUCAGUGGCGAAAGCGACUUCCUGGACCAAUACUGACGCUCAUGUGCGAAAGCGUGGGGAGCAAACGGG
rnacentral:rRNA from 1 species